AUUAUUUACCGGUCUAUAUUGUUAGUAUAUAAAUUGUAUGAAAACAAAAAAUUAUGGCGGUAUUUUAAGCUUUUCAGAGGAAUUUGCUCUUUAAUGGAUAAAACACCUAAAUCUUACUAAAUUUAGUUAAACAGUUUGUAUACCACUAUUUAAGUAAUAAUUUGCUAUUAUUACUAAAAUUUAUUAAUUAAAAAAAGUUAAGUCAAGGUGCAGCAUAAAUUUUAGUAUGAAGUGAAUUACAUUUCUUUUAAGAAAAAUUUGUUGAAAUAUAAAAUUUAGGAUUUGAAAGUAAAAUUUUAAUAGAAGGAAAAUUUGAAUUAAGCUCUAAAAUAUGUAC
rnacentral:rRNA from 1 species